rnacentral:piRNA from 1 species
UGCAAGUGCAGAACAAAGAACAAGAGAU